rnacentral:rRNA from 1 species
AUUGAACGCUGGCGGCAGGCCUAACACAUGCACGUCGAGCGGAGCGGCGUACGGGUGAGUAAUGCCUAGGAAUCUGCCUGGUAGUGGGGGAUCACUUCCAGAAACGGGCGACAAUACCGCAUGAUAUCAGAUGAGCCUCGGGCGUAUUUGCUCGUUGGUGGGGUAAAGGACUACCACGGAGACGAUCCGUAACUGGGCUGAGAGGAUGAUCAGUCCAACUGGAACUGAGACACGGUCCAGACUCCUACGGGAGGCAGCAGUGGGGAAUAUUGGACAAGGGGCGAAAGCCUGAUCCAGCCAUGCCGCGUGUGUGAAGAAGGUCUUCGGAUUGUAAAGCACUGUAAGUUGGGAGGCGUUACCAACAGAAUAAGCACCGGCUAACUUCGUGCCAGCAGCCGCGGUAAUUC